GACGAACGCUGGCGGCGUGCUUAACACAUGCAAGUCGAACGGAAAGGCCCUGCUUUUGUGGGGUGCUCGAGUGGCGAACGGGUGAGUAACACGUGAGUAACCUGCCCUUGACUUUGGGAUAACUUCAGGAAACUGGGGCUAAUACCGGAUAGGAGCUCCUGCUGCAUGGUGGGGGUUGGAAAGUUUCGGCGGUUGGGGAUGGACUCGCGGCUUAUCAGCUUGUUGGUGGGGUAGUGGCUUACCAAGGCUUUGACGGGUAGCCGGCCUGAGAGGGUGACCGGCCACAUUGGGACUGAGAUACGGCCCAGACUCCUACGGGAGGCAGCAGUGGGGAAUAUUGCACAAUGGGCGGAAGCCUGAUGCAGCAACGCCGCGUGCGGGAUGACGGCCUUCGGGUUGUAAACCGCUUUCGCCUGUGACGAAGCGUGAGUGACGGUAAUGGGUAAAGAAGCACCGGCUAACUACGUGCCAGCAGCCGCGGUGAUACGUAGGGUGCGAGCGUUGUCCGGAUUUUUUGGGCGUCAAGGGCUCCUAAGUGGCUGAUUCCCUCCGAAGUGUAAUCUUGGGGCUUAACCCUGAGCGUGCUUUCGAUACGGGUUGACUUGAGGAAGGUAGGGGAGAAUGGAAUUCCUGGUGGAGCGGUGGAAUGCGCAGAUAUCAGGAGGAACACCAGUGGCGAAGGCGGUUCUCUGGGCCUUUCCUGACGCUGAGGAGCGAAAGCGUGGGGAGCGAACAGGCUUAGAUACCCUGGUAGUCCACGCUGUAAACGGUGGGUACUAGGUGUGGGGUCCAUUCCACGGGUUCCGUGCCGUAGCUAACGCUUUAAGUACCCCGCCUGGGGAGUACGGCCGCAAGGCUAAAACUCAAAGGAAUUGACGGGGCCCCGCACGAGCGGCGGAGCAUGCGGAUUAAUUCGAUGCAACGCGUAGAACCUUACCUGGGUUUGACAUGGAUUGGGAGUGCUCAGAGAUGGGUGUGCCUCUUUUGGGGUCGGUUCACAGGUGGUGCAUGGCUGUCGUCAGCUCGUGUCGUGAGAUGUUGGGUUAAGUCCCGCAACGAGCGCAACCCUUGUUCACUGUUGCCAGCACGUUAUGGUGGGGACUCAGUGGAGACCGCCGGGGUCAACUCGGAGGAAGGUGGGGAUGACGUCAAGUCAUCAUGCCCCUUAUGUCCAGGGCUUCACGCAUGCUACAAUGGCUGGUACAGAGAGUGGCGAGCCUGUGAGGGUGAGCGAAUCUCGGAAAGCCGGUCUCAGUUCGGAUUGGGGUCUGCAACUCGACCUCAUGAAGUCGGAGUCGCUAGUAAUCGCAGAUCAGCAACGCUGCGGUGAAUACGUUCCCGGG
rnacentral:rRNA from 1 species